rnacentral:rRNA from 1 species
ACGCUGGCGGCAGGCCUAACACAUGCAAGUCGAGCGGUAGAGAGAAGCUUGCUUCUCUUGAGAGCGGCGGACGGGUGAGUAAUGCCUAGGAAUCUGCCUGGUAGUGGGGGAUAACGUUCGGAAACGGACGCUAAUACCGCAUACGUCCUACGGGAGAAAGCAGGGGACCUUCGGGCCUUGCGCUAUCAGAUGAGCCUAGGUCGGAUUAGCUAGUUGGUGAGGUAAUGGCUCACCAAGGCGACGAUCCGUAACUGGUCUGAGAGGAUGAUCAGUCACACUGGAACUGAGACACGGUCCAGACUCCUACGGGAGGCAGCAGUGGGGAAUAUUGGACAAUGGGCGAAAGCCUGAUCCAGCCAUGCCGCGUGUGUGAAGAAGGUCUUCGGAUUGUAAAGCACUUUAAGUUGGGAGGAAGGGCAGUUACCUAAUACGUGAUUGUUUUGACGUUACCGACAGAAUAAGCACCGGCUAACUCUGUGCCAGCAGCCGCGGUAAUACAGAGGGUGCAAGCGUUAAUCGGAAUUACUGGGCGUAAAGCGCGCGUAGGUGGUUUGUUAAGUUGGAUGUGAAAUCCCCGGGCUCAACCUGGGAACUGCAUUCAAAACUGACUGACUAGAGUAUGGUAGAGGGUGGUGGAAUUUCCUGUGUAGCGGUGAAAUGCGUAGAUAUAGGAAGGAACACCAGAGGCGAAGGCGACCACCUGGACUGAUACUGACACUGAGGUGCGAAAGCGUGGGGAGCAAAC